AUUGAACGCUGGCGGCAGGCCUAACACAUGCAAGUCGAGCGGAUGAAGGGAGCUUGCUCCUGGAUUCAGCGGCGGACGGGUGAGUAAUGCCUAGGAAUCUGCCUGGUAGUGGGGGAUAACGUCCGGAAACGGGCGCUAAUACCGCAUACGUCCUGAGGGAGAAAGUGGGGGAUCUUCGGACCUCACGCUAUCAGAUGAGCCUAGGUCGGAUUAGCUAGUUGGUGGGGUAAAGGCCUACCAAGGCGACGAUCCGUAACUGGUCUGAGAGGAUGAUCAGUCACACUGGAACUGAGACACGGUCCAGACUCCUACGGGAGGCAGCAGUGGGGAAUAUUGGACAAUGGGCGAAAGCCUGAUCCAGCCAUGCCGCGUGUGUGAAGAAGGUCUUCGGAUUGUAAAGCACUUUAAGUUGGGAGGAAGGGCAGUAAGUUAAUACCUUGCUGUUUUGACGUUACCAACAGAAUAAGCACCGGCUAACUUCGUGCCAGCAGCCGCGGUAAUACGAAGGGUGCAAGCGUUAAUCGGAAUUACUGGGCGUAAAGCGCGCGU
rnacentral:rRNA from 1 species